UCCGACGUAGCUCAGCUGGCAGAGCGCCGCACUGUUAAUGCGGAUGCCGCAGGUUCGAACCCUGCCGUCGGAG
rnacentral:tRNA from 1 species